rnacentral:rRNA from 1 species
AUUGAACGCUAGCGGGAUGCUUUACACAUGCAAGUCGAACGAGUGGCGUACGGGUGAGCUAUAUAUCGGAACGUUCCCAGUAGCGGGGGUUAACUACUGGGAACAGUUGCUACUACCGCAUACUAUAGGCGCGGCCGAUAUCGGAUUGGCUAGUUGGUGGGGUAAAGGCUCACAAAGGCAACGAUCCGUACCUGGUUUGAGAGGACGACCAGCCACACUGGAACUGAGACACGGCCCAGACUCCUACGGGAGGCAGCAGUGGGGAAUUUUGGACAAUGGGGGAAAGCCUGAUCCAGCCAUCCCGCGUGUAUGAGAAGGCCUUCGGGUUGUAAAGUACUUUUGGCAGAGAGGCGGUAUCUGCAGAAUAAGCACCGGCUAACUACGUGCCAGCAGCCGCGGUAAUAC